UGUCUGGAGCGCAGCACAUUUUGCGUUCUUAACCUUUAUGCUAGUGUCCAGUAAGCCUUUACAUUUGCUCUUGACCUCGGAUCAGGUAGGGAUACCCGCUGAACUUAAGCAUAUCAAUAAGCGGAGGAAAAGAAACCAACAGGGAUUGCCCUAGUAACGGCGAGUGAAGCGGCAACAGCUCAAAUUUGAAAUCUGGCUCUUUUAGAGUCCGAGUUGUAAUUUGCAGAGGGCGCUUUGGCGUUGGCAGCGGUCCAAGUUCCUUGGAACAGGACGUCACAGAGGGUGAGAAUCCCGUACGUGGUCGCUAACCUUCGCCGUGUAAAGCCCCUUCGACGAGUCGAGUUGUUUGGGAAUGCAGCUCUAAAUGGGAGGUAAAUUUCUUCUAAAGCUAAAUACUGGCCAGAGACCGAUAGCGCACAAGUAGAGUGAUCGAAAGAUGAAAAGCACUUUGGAAAGAGAGUCAAACAGCACGUGAAAUUGUUGAAAGGGAAGCGCUUGCAGCCAGACUUGCCUGUAGUUGCUCAUCCGGGCUUUUGCCCGGUGCACUCUUCUGCGGGCAGGCCAGCAUCAGUUUGGACGGUUGGAUAAAGGUCUCUGUCAUGUACCUCUCUUCGGGGAGGCCUUAUAGGGGAGACGACAUGCAACCAGUCUGGACUGAGGUCCGCGCAUUUGCUAGGAUGCUGGCGUAAUGGCUGUAAGCGGCC
rnacentral:rRNA from 1 species